AUUCCAGACUCCUACGGGAGGCAGCAGUGGGGAAUAUUGCACAAUGGGGGAAACCCUGAUGCAGCAACGCCGCGUGGGUGAAGGAGCGUUUCGGCGCGUAAAGCCCUGUCAGCGGGGAAGAAGAAAGACGGUACCCGACCAAGAAGCCCCGGCUAACUACGUGCCAGCAGCCGCGGUAAUACGUAGGGGGCGAGCGUUAUCCGGAUUUACUGGGUGUAAAGGGAGCGUAGACGGCUGUGCAAGCCAGAUGUGAAAGCCCGGGGCUCAACCCCGGGACUGCAUUUGGAACUGUGUGGCUGGAGUGUCGGAGAGGCAGGCGGAAUUCCUAGUGUAGCGGUGAAAUGCGUAGAUAUUAGGAGGAACACCAGUGGCGAAGGCGGCCUGCUGGACGAUGACUGACGUUGAGGCUCGAAAGCGUGGGGAGCAAACAGGAUUAGAUACCCUAGUA
rnacentral:rRNA from 1 species